GAGUCUGAACACUUCUGGAAAUAAGCCUGAAGUCAGAGGUCAACUCAGCGAGAUUCUACAACGGAGAAGUUGAGAGUUUAGAGAAGGACCAGGAAAAAAAUAGAAUGACCCAGCCACUGGGAGGUGCCAGUGACCCUGGACUGCUGUUCUUAAAAGGCCCCUCUCGCUUAGUCGUGGAGCCCAGGGCCAUAGCUUUGUGGCCCGAGGAACGUGCAGCCUACACUGGCCUCUGCAUGGCAACUCGCUACGACGUUUGCACUCGUUCAUCUAAAGCGAGGGAGGGCCACCCUCCUACGUCCUCUUCCGUCCUGCCUCUGUGAACUGCACAGAGUUUGCAUCAAGCCCUUCUAGACGUAAAGCCUAAUCGUGUAAGGCGUAGGCACGGUUGAAAUCAGCUGACUUCUUGUCCUCGGCUCCCUAUCAUCUUUCUUUCCCUUUCCUGUUGGAGGUGGUCAUCUCCAUGCGCCUCUGUGUUGAAGUAUGCAGAUUAUAAGCACCAUGUUCAGUGCCUGCUGGCACCGAUUGCUUCACACAUCUCAUUGAAUCUUUGCAACAGGUCUUUAAGCUGCUUAUUUCUAUCUGCGGUUGCAAAGGAGGACACAGGCUCAUGGCAGCCACAGGCACUUUUGGGGAAGGGCCUGUGCCAGUGUGAUAGAGGCAGGACAUGAGCGCAGGUCUGGAGCUCACUUGUCUCGGGGACCGCACCCCACGCUUCUGAGAGCACAGCUGGAGGGGACUCGCUGCCCUCCUGGUCAGCGUCUUUGGCCUGGGACAGACUCUGGCCACAGGAGGCCUACUCCCUCUGCAGUGUCGCUCUCGGGGGCCCGGCCCCCUCACCACUGCUUUAUUUAUUAAUGUGGCUUCAGAGUGUUAGGGCCCCAGACUGUCUAGUCCACACUCGUGCUUUAGACGAGGAAACAGAUGCACCCAAGAGGAAUAAAUGGACUAGAGGGAUGUAUCAGACAGCGUUGCUGCCCUGACUCAGCGGCUUAAAACAGCGAAGGCUGAUCGUUCCUCACGAUUCCGAGGGUGGACCGGCUGGCUCUUCAGUCGAUCUCCCCUGGCUCUUUAGUGCAGCGGUCCACCCAGCUGGGUGGCCUUUCAUCCUGGGUCCGCAACCCUGGUGAGAGGGCUCCAAGAGGGCCAAAGUAGGAGCUGCCUCACCUUGGAAGUUGCAAGUCACUCCUGCUCCAUUCUGUCCAGAGGCAAGGAGGAGUCAACCGACUCUGCUUCUUGAUGGGAGGAGCAGCAAAGCCACAUGACCAAGGUGGGAGAAUAUGGGCAGCGUGGUUCACGGGCGUGGGUGGUCGUUAUUGUAACAAUCUACCCGCAUGAUGUGGCCCACUCCUGCUGGAGGCAGAGCUUGGGCCCAGGACUCCUGAUUUUGUUCUUUUCUAUGACAGCAUGCUGUUCUGACAUCCCACGGGACUUUCUAGAAUCCCACAGAUUUUCCAGGAGUCUCCUUAAUUGACCAACAGGCUGCUGGCUCUGACGAGCAUCAGGGAGAGAGGUCGUGUGUCCACCCCUCCUCUCAUGACUGUGCUGAGCAGCGUCGAGUCCCUGAUGACCCCGGUGUGCAGCCACUGCCCAUACCCUUCCUCCAUAGUGUCCCAGGAUGGGGGGAUGCUAAGGCAGCUCUCCCUGAGGGGCUCAGGUGAUCCAGUAGGGUCAGGGAAGAAAAGAUUAGACCCCGUUUAUGUUUCCAUUUGCCUAAGAAAGAAAUGAACUUUGCUAAUGUUUCUAAGUGGAGAGACACCGGCGCCCUCCCUUGAGCCUGACGUCAGGUGUCCUGACUCCUGUAGGGACAGAGAAGACGUGGGGGAGGAGGGGACACUCCAUAACCCAGCCACACGGGCAGUGGCACAUUGAGACACGUGGCUCUGAAAAUGCAGUGGGCAAACCAUAAACUAUUUCCCAUCUGUGCGUCUAAAACUCUGGAAGCCACGUAUUCCGUAUGCUACACGGUAGCGUUGUAUCCUGUUUAAUCUGGACGGUGAGCAGCGUGAGAGCACGCACUGCCUUCUUCUUCUUUGUGUCCUGGGUCUGUCUAGGGCCCGGCUCGGAGCUCGUAGGAACUCAGAGUCUUUUAUGGCUGAGUCAAGUUCUGUCCUAACUGUUCACUGUGUGCUGAGCUCCUCGUGGGGGGCGCCCCAUGGAACCUGUUAUGAAAUAUUCCCAGAGGCACGGAGGGUGACUUCUGUAACCCUAGGACAGUUAUCCUUGGGUGCUUGGCUCUCUCCAGUCUUUAUCUUGUCUCGGGAGGCUGUUGGGUCAUUGACACAAGGUGGGGUCUUGGAUGAACCACUCCUGUCGUUAGGGGCUGGGACAGCCUUUUUCCAGAUUGUCCUGUUCCAGCAGCCUGAGGAGUGUCUUGCUGGACUCCCGCCAGGAGUUAGAAGCCUUCUCAACUGUCGGUGUGCUUCCUGUUUGCACAUUUGAUUUGGUGCCUAGUGUAUGUCGUCUUGCCGCCUUGUCAUAUUACCUCAUUUCCCUUUUAUAGUUGCUUGUCAUUCAAGGAAUGGAUUGGAGCAGAAGGCAUUUAAGGUCCUGUACUAGUGUCCUGUGGCUGCUGCAACAAAUGACCACAAACGUGGUGGCCUCAAACAACACAAAUUCGUUCUCUUACAGUCUGGAGGUCUGACCCAGGUCUCACUGGGCUAACGUCAAGGUGUCGGCAGGGCUGGUUCAUUUCUGGAAGGAGCGUCCGUUUCCUUGCCUUUUCCAGCUUCUGGGGGACAUCCGCAUUCCUUGGCUUGUGGCCCCUUCUUCCAUCUUGAAAGCCAGCAGCCCAGCAGCGUCCAAUCCCUCUCUGACUCUGCUCCUGCCCUCACAUCUCCUUCUCUGACUCUGACCCUCCCGCCUCCCUCUUACAAGGACCCUGCGAUGACAGUGGACUCGCCUGGAUUGUCCCGGCUGCUCUUCCCGCCUCAAGAGCCUGAGCUUAAUCACAUCUCUGUCUCUCUCUCCUUCUCCCCCUCCUUCUCUCUCUCUUCCUACGCUACUCCUUGGUUCUUUCCUUCGCGGGAUCAACACAGUUUGUAAUCCUGCGUGUACAGGUUUCAAGUCUGUCUCCCCCACUGUUUGAGAAGCUCGUCUCCUUGUUCACGGCUAUAUUCCCAGGAUCUAGAGAAAUGCCGGUAGAAUUAUGCUCGAGUUGAAAAUUUCCCUCUGACGCAUUCCCGUCCAUUUGCAGGCCAUGGGCCUGUCAAUCAGAGGGGAAGAGAUGCCCACACCACGUUCUAGCCCCGCGGCUUCCCGGCCAGCCUCGGGGUAGCAUGCUUAGGCAAGCGUCGUGGCCGCCUUGUGUGAUGUCAUGCUGUGGGCAGCACUGGGCCUGGUGGGCUUGGGGCAAGGGAAGUCACCCCUGCGUGAAGAUCCUGUUUGCAAGGGGACCUCAGCUCUGGUCUCAGAGGCUGGGCACCUUCUCUUCCGGCUGCUUCUCUUUUCUCGGUGAAACAGGAACAAGAUCGAGGGAGGCUGGAGGCUUGAGGAGAGUGAGAUAGCUGUCCAGGAGAGAGGAAAAGGACAGAGAGAUGGGGACAGUCACCGGGUAGCAAGAAGGGUUGCGGAGUGUCAAGGGAAGGCUGCAGAGUGUGGUCGGCCAGCAGGCUGCUGCCCUCCCUGCUGCCCCUGAGGCUGGGCUUGGUGUUGAGAAAGCAGAGGGCGGGCGGCACUGAGCCAGGCUCCGUGUUUGCCGAGCAGUGACACUGUGGGGACAGCUCCCCUUCCAUUUCUGCAGAGUGGGUGGGACCUCCUGCUGCAGAGUGGGAGUGGCCGGUGCAGAAGUGGGAGGGGAGCUCGAGUACAGCCAGACCUCCAGAACAUUCUCACCAGAACCCAGGUGAGAAACCACAGUGUACUUUCCUUCAAGGCUGCCCUUCACUUUAAUCUGAUCUCAUGCAACACGUGGAAGGAGGGGAGGGGCAGGUGGGGGGUGGGCGUGGACAUCGACGGCCCCUGUCCUGGACAGUGCCCACCGACACUGUCUGUCCCAGACCUGAUCCCCCGACCGGGAACUACUGUCUGAGCAGAGACUCUGCACACACACUCCUCACCUUGAAGGCAGAGUUUUGUCACCAUCUCUUUCGUGCUUAUGGCGCAAGUGGCUACCGCUGCCCAACAGAUGGAGUUCAUGGACGUCCGGGUCCUGGAGAAACGUAUGUGCUGGCUGUGACAGACAGGCAGUGGGAAAAAACCAGGCCCAAGAGCUUUGAAGACCAAGUUUCUGUCUGUGCUGUGGGCUGCUCCUGACAGGAGCUGACAUCUGAGCUAUGCACCAGGCACUGGCAUUUCCUUCUCCCUUCCACCCGUGUCAUCCUGUGAUGGGUCCAGGGAAGACCCUUCUCUCUUCAAGACUACCCUUGAUGUAAAUUUUAGCCAGGUGUCACCUGAAGCGGAAGGAUGAGGGUCGGUAUGAGCAUACACAGACGGCUGAGGCUACAAGUUCGAGAUGUCCACUGGGGCCGCAGUUUGGAAAGUACGUGCUGACAUGGCAGCUGAGAACCAAAACCCCUUCUGAGCCUGUGGUCAAACCCUCCUAAUAAGAAGAGAAACCGAGAGUCUCAGGCCGCGUGCUGGGAGAGCCGCACGGUCGGGCAAGGGGCUGGGGGUGGGGGAGGCGCCAGGAAAACUCUGAAAAUUCUGCACCCUGUUUUGCUUUCACUCACCUAGAUUUAGAAGAAUCCUCUGGCAAAAUGAAACUGAACUCUUACUUCCCCACUGAUGGUCUCCCGGUGACGGCAUAGACACUCUUGUCCUUGGUGAUAGAUCUGGAUGCUUUGGGUGUCGGCUUUGUCAAGGUUUAAUUUAUGUACAAUAAAAUCCCCCAAUUUGAAGUGUA